AGAGUUUGAUUCUGGCUCAGAGUGAACGCUGGCGGUAGGCCUAACACAUGCAAGUCGAACGGCAGCACAGUAAGAGCUUGCUCUUACGGGUGGCGAGUGGCGGACGGGUGAGGAAUACAUCGGAAUCUACUUUUUCGUGGGGGAUAACGUAGGGAAACUUACGCUAAUACCGCAUACGACCUACGGGUGAAAGCAGGGGAUCUUCGGACCUUGCGCGAUUGAAUGAGCCGAUGUCGGAUUAGCUGGUUGGUGGGGUAACGGCCUACCAAGGCGACGAUCGGUAGCCGGUCUGAGAGGAUGAACGGCCACAUUGGGACUGAGACACGGCCCAGACUCCUACGGGAGGCAGCAGUGGGGAAUCUUCCGCAAUGGGCGCAAGCCUGACGGAGCAACGCCGCCGUGAGUGAGGAAGUUCUUCGGAACGUAAAGCUCUGUUGUUCCUGACGAACCUCCCCUUUAUCAACAACGGAGGGGACUGACGGUAGGGAACGAGGAAGCCACGGCUAACUACGUGCCAGCCGCUGC
rnacentral:rRNA from 1 species